rnacentral:rRNA from 1 species
ACGAACGCUGGCGGCGCGCUUAACACAUGCAAGUCGAACGGAGAGGCCUGCUUUCCCUUGUGGAUUGCGGGUACUCGAGUGGCGAACGGGUGAGUAACACGUGAGUGAUCUGCCCCCAACUUGGGUAUAAGCCUGGGAAACUGGGUCUAAUUCCCGAUAGGACUGCAGGGUGGUGCCUGUGGUGGAAAACGAUUUUCUAGUGGUUGGGGAUGAGCUCGCGGCCUAUCAGCUUGUUGGUGGGGUAAUGGCCUACCAAGGCGGCGACGGGUAGCCGGCCUGAGAGGGUGGACGGCCACAUUGGGACUGAGAUACGGCCCAGACUCCUACGGGAGGCAGCAGUGGGGAAUAUUGCACAAUGGGCGGAAGCCUGAUGCAGCGACGCCGCGUGGGGGAUGACGGCCUUCGGGUUGUAAACUCCUUUCGACCGCGAGGAAGCCACCUGGUUGGAAGGGUGGUGACGGUAGUGGUAGAAGAAGCACCGGCUAACUACGUG